UACAGAGGUGCCAAGCGUUAGGCGGAAUCACUGGGCUUAAAGGGCGCGUAGGCGGGUGCUCAAGUCCGGGGUGAAAUCCUCCAGCUCAACUGGAGAACUGCCUCGGAUACUGGGUGCCUCGAGGGUGAUAGGGGUAUGCGGAACUAUCGGUGGAGCGGUGAAAUGCGUUGAUAUCGAUAGGAACUCCGGUGGCGAAGGCGGCAUACUGGAUCACAUCUGACGCUGAGGCGCGAAAGCCAGGGGAGCAAACGGG
rnacentral:rRNA from 1 species